UGCUUUACUAAUCUUCAAGGCAAGUCUUAAUCCAAUGAAGCUGACAUAUCAGGAUCAAUGCUCCUCAUUCAGAGCCUGGCACAUGGUAAAAACUCAGCUAAGGAAACAGAUUACCUUCUUCAUGUGCUAAUACCCCAGAGUUCUUGGUAUCAGAUUUCCAGGUGCGCUUGAUAACAUGCUUGAUGUCAGUGUGAACUACUUACAAGGCA